CACGUAGGGCGCAAGCGUUGUCCGGAAUUAUUGGGCGUAAAGAGCUCGUAGGCGGUCUGUUGCGUCUGCUGUGAAAACUCGGGGCUUAACCCCGAGCCUGCAGUGGAUACGGGCAGACUAGAGGUAGGUAGGGGAGAAUGGAAUUCCCGGUGUAGCAGUGAAAUGCGUAGAGAUCAUGAGGAAGACCAGUGGCGAAGGCGGGUCUCUGGACAGUUCCUGACACUGAGACACGAAGGCCAGGGGAGCAAACGGG
rnacentral:rRNA from 1 species